AAACGCGAAGAACCUUACCAGGUCUUGACAUCUUCUGCUAACCUAAGAGAUUAGGCGUUCCCUUCGGGGACGGAAUGACAGGUGGUGCAUGGUUGUCGUCAGCUCGUGUCGUGAGAUGCUGGGUUAAGUCCCGCAACGAGCGCAACCCUUAUUGUCAGUUGCCAGCAUUUAGUUGGGCACUCUGGCGAGACUGCCGGUGACAAACCGGAGGAAGGUGGGGAUGACGUCAAAUCAUCAUGCCCCUUAUGACCUGGGCUACACACGUGCUACAAUGGACGGUACAACGAGUCGCGAAACCGCGAGGUCAAGCUAAUCUCUUAAAGCCGUUCUCAGUUCGGAUUGUAGGCUGCAACUCGCCUACAUGAAGUUGGAAUCGCUAGUAAUCGUGGAUCAGC
rnacentral:rRNA from 1 species